rnacentral:rRNA from 1 species
UACGUAGGGGGCAAGCGUUGUCCGGAAUCAUUGGGCGUAAAGCGCGUGUAGGCGGCUGGGUAAGUCCGCUCUGAAAGCCCGGGGCUCAACCCCGGGAGGCGGGUGGAUACUGCUCAGCUCGAGUCCGGAAGAGGAGUGUGGAAUUCCUGGUGUAGCGGUGAAAUGCGCAGAUAUCAGGAGGAACACCAAUGGCGAAGGCAGCACUCUGGGACGGUACUGACGCUGAGACGCGAAAGCGUGGGAGCAAACAGG